CAGGGAAUCUUGCGCAAUGGGCGAAAGCCUGACGCAGUGACGCCGCGUGUGGGAUGAAGGCUUUCGGGUUGUAAACCACUUUCAGCAGGGACGAUUAUGACGGUACCUGCAGAAGAAGCUCCGGCCAACUACGUGCCAGCAGCCGCGGUAAUACGUAGGGAGCGAGCGUUGUCCGGAUUUAUUGGGCGUAAAGAGCUCGUAGGUGGUUCAGCAAGUCGGGUGUGAAAACUCUGGGCUCAACCCAGAGAUGCCACCCGAUACUGCUGUGACUAGAGUCAGGUAGGGGAUCGCGGAAUUCCAGGUGUAGCGGUGAAAUGCACAGAUAUCUGGAGGAACACCAGCGGCGAAGGCGGCGAUCUGGGCCUGUACUGACACUGAGGAGCGAAAGCGUGGGGAGCGAACAG
rnacentral:rRNA from 1 species